rnacentral:lncRNA from 1 species
AAACGACCUAGAUUUUUCCACAAAGGGGAAAAAUCCUCAGAUUCGAAUUAUAAUGUGAUAAUUCAGAUAUUGAGCCAUCACAUUAUCAUAUAUCAGCUGUUAUCGCAGUCAUACAUCGUGAAAAAGAAGAUUACAUCACAUUUACUUUACAACUCUUAGUUAACAAGCCUAUUACAUCGUUUUACUAGCGGAAACACACACGAAUCUUUUUCAGAGUCGAUGUAGCGCGUCAGCAGUGAGGGCUCCUCCUUCACGGGCAAUCAUCAGAGUCGGCGUAGUUUAUCAGCGGGCGUAGCCUUCAUCUCCGAACCAAACUUGAGCGCAGGAACGAGACCACCUAAUCCUUCUAUUCUCCGUAGUUAUCAUCAUAGACCACAUCCAAAACCUGCUAAACAAUUUUCAGUACGAUUUGUACUGGCCACUGGCUCCCACCCUAUGCUUUUGCUUAAGCUUUGUGGUAAGUGGAAUGCAAAGGGUAGAUCAAGAGGCCUAUAUAUAUGGCUGUAGUCUUUCCUAUGCAAGUUCAUCAAUAUUUAAUAAUAAUAUUUCAUCAAGUUUUAUUCCAUCUCAUCCACACAUCCAUCCAUCCAUCCCAUCACACACAUCUCACCACACUCUCACUCUCUAGGCGGCAAGUACGACUCCCGCUCGUGCCUUGCCUCAACGGCCAACGCCGGAUCCAACACAAACCCAGGGGAAGGUAGAAAGGACUCCUCUCACUAGUCAAGCGAAGCGGAACAUAGGAAAGGUCCAUAGCCGAGAAGACGGCAUAUGUAUCGAUCGAUCAACCAAACUCUGCAGAGGUUUACACUAACCACAAGAUCACCAUCAUCGACGAACCGGCUCGUCUAGGCUGAUACCGGGCUGCCUUCCAACUAAAUACGAUGCCACCCUACCACUCAGGACUGGGGCCAUACCGGAGUACCACCGGCAUGCUGAGACUGUGAGGCGUAGUACCGGGCCCCCAAGGGUCACUACGCUGUCUUAGGAGGGUGUGGGUCCUCAUGCCCGUACCUCCCUACACUAUCCGCUAUCAACCUAGUAGUAGUGGCACCGCACUAGCUGGUCGUACAUCCGUCCCGCACCAUAAUAAGGCGAGUGGCGUGUAAGGCUUCCUACGAACCGGUUCUCAGAACAUCUCAGUCCUUAGGGUAACCGAACAGGACAUCUUCACGAGGGGCCAGCCGAUGCCCCUCUCGACGGGACACCCGGCUACCCCGUGCUAAACAGCACCUCCCAUCCCGGUGCUUCGUCCCACGAAGACACUCCACUCCGGGACCUCUCCCUGUCACAUGUACCCGCCACAGGUAUCUCUCAUGGAGAACGCCCAGGUAGCGUUCCCCGGCAAGACUUGUCCCAAGACUCGUCGUAAAUCCUGCUCGGUCGACUCAACCCUCACCACACACCCAAGACACACGCCAAGAUCUCCCCAUAUCCAUUAUCCAUUUCUUAACCAGUUAUCGGCACACGUGCCUUAUCCACUCACAUCCAAUCCUCCACAAUGCAUCACAUCACAGAUAUAAUGCGUAGUAGAAGCAGUAGCAAGUAGUAUGCAAGCAUCUAACCUAACAGCGGGUGUGCGAGGGUUAUAGGUUGCAACAAGGCAAUGGCUCACAAGCAUUUCUACCAUGCAACCUAUCAUAGUUCAUUUGCAUAAAAGUAAAGCACUAGCAUCUAUAAUAUUGCAUGUCUAAUAGGAUUCUACGAGGUUGGGUGGGACGUGGCACCUGUCGAGUGACAUUUCCAGGAUCCUCAGUUCACUUGUAGUUGUACUCAUCCAAGGUCUUUCUCCUAUCUGCAUGUCCUUCCUUCGACUGGUUCCGAUUCGAUCAUCGCUAACCGAAGCAACUACCUCGUAAACGACAAUCAAGGCGAAACAAUCAAACCACUAGACCUAGAAAGAUCGUGAUAAGAGGCGACAAAACACUGAAGAACAACUACACUAAAAGAGCACCGAAAGGAAAACAACUUAGCCCUCUCGGCGGAUGUCCGAUCCCUGGGCUAAAAGAAACGGGAAUGGUUGUUCACUAAGUACAAGCCAGAGUCUUAGCCUAGCCGUUACUUCCCCGGUUAACUGAGUCAACCUGUACGGCUUUAUUAAAUGGCUUAGACUCUAACUCAUUCUAAGCAAACACCACAACUUACAGUCUUUCGAUCCAAGUGUCAUAGAGAUCGACAGGAAUCGAAAAGGCUAUGAGCACGGGAAGUUCCGGUCUCUCUCAAUCCAUACGCCAUUGUAGUUGGCGAGAGCCAAGAGAGGGUGGAACAAGGAGAGAAGAAAAAGGGAAGUGGUCUACUCCUUCCAAUCCACUUGCCAUGGUAAUAGACGGGGUAAUCAGAAAGAGUGACAUACAAGAACACGAGUGCUCAAACUACUUGUAGGGUACCACAACCUAGGUACACUGAAUGCACUAAGACAUCCCUAGGGUUCUUAGCAGUGCGGUUGUCACCACGAGAACCAAAGAAAUGCUACGGUCGAAUAGGUACAAGCAUACAAGAGUUUAAACACAAAGAACCAAAAAGGCGGGAAAAGACACGGGUUUCACUUCCUAUUGAUCCACUUGCCAUAGCAACAGCGGGAAUCGUAGAAAUGGAAUCAAAACACCAAACAAACAAAAGGGCUCAAUCCACAUAUUACUGGAUCUACAGGGAUUGAGAACAAGAGAGAAGAGGAAUGGAGUCCAUACUGUUUCGACCAACUCAUCAUGGAAUGAACGACGGUUGGAUGAAAGAGAUACGACCCCACGAUCCAACCCUACUCGUAGGGUACCACGACUGUGCAUCUAAUCAGCACACGGCUAUUCCUAAGGCCCGUAGCGAUGCGGUUGUCACCGCUAGGUCCGAGGGAAUGCUAUAGUCGAAGUGGUGCAAGCAUACGAGGUGGUUAGGAUAAACACGCGAGAAAUGGGGUAAAGCCGGAUGGUCAUGGCAAGGUGGACUUGCGACCAUUAGCUUCACCCAACGAGUUGGCUUCUGACUGUUCUACAAGGGUUGCUCCUAAUCUGUAUCCCACUAGACUAGAUCACAGAGAACUCGAAGGUGCGGGUAAGAACCGCGUCGUUAUGAAUAUCGAGUCCGCAAAGAUCAAACCCCAGGGACGAGGAUAGGAGCUAACAAGCGUAGCGUGACGAAGUCAACUAAACACGGGGAGACGAGUUACGCUCGGCAUCGCGAUCACGGCGGGACGAACCCACGAUCGAAAUGAUCAAACGCACUACCACUUCCCCGACCGGCUCGAAGGCUCAGUCCUCAGGCAAAUAACAAAAGAAAGAACGACGACAACCCGAGAAGGGAUAUGCUUGGCACUACGACCAUGGCGAGACAACUCGCGAUCGCAACAUUCAAACACAUCACUCUCUCAACCGGCUCGAAGGCACGGUUCACAACCAACCAACCACAUGACACAAGAACCAACGCACAAAGAACCACAAUGCCGCGACCAACACAAAGACAAAGUAGAGUAGCACAUUUCCAUAGCGACCAACAGAGAUAGAUAAACGGAUAGAUAAACAGACCGGCACGAAGGCACGGCACAGGCAUAGAAUAAAUAAUUCAUGUAUCGACAAGUAUAGAUAGAUGGAUAAAGAUGAAUCAUAUAGCAAGUGUAUGAAAGCAGAAUAGGGUUUUUGUUGGCAUCGGGAAUGACGCCAACUAGGGUUCGGGGCUCGACCUUGGAGCCGAUGGGCUGUGGUAGCAGCUGUUGUUCUUCGGAUGCAGCGAAGUGGUGGUCAUGCUUGGUCGCGCGGCUUCGUCAUUGGCCGGUGCUCGGCAAGGUGUUGCAAAGGCGAUCAGCGGUGCUGCGAGGUUCCACUCAUGGUAGCUCUAGCGUUGCGGCUUCCAUGGGAAGGUGCAGCAGGUCCGAGGCCUCCCUGUGACAGUGGUUGAACACGGCACCCAGGCCGACUGUUAGCCAAGAACCACGGUAUGGUCUUCAGAACGGAAAGAAAGGUAUGGCCUUGGCUUGAGAGCUCACCGAUGACAGAGAAGGGCUUGGCGAGGACGAGGCGAGCACGGCACUGACGAGGGGAACUGGUGGGGGCGCUGCUCGACGUCGUGGCCGCAGGGGUGGUGCUUGGCGCUCGGGUUCGCGGUCACCACGGGGUUGCUGGGUCACGACCAGCGCUGCGGACGACGGUGUCGUGGAGGAGGGCUCGGAGCAGAACUCGGUGAGGACGCAGCGUCGCGGGGUCGGGGCUCCUGCUCGGCGAGGGCGCGGAGAUCCUACUCGACGUCGAGGUAGAGGCGCGGCUUGACGGCGGCGGGUGCGCGGGGUGGUGCCGAGGACGAGGCGUGUCGCGGACACGGCGUCGCGACGGCGGUGCGCGGGGACAGGGCUCGGCGCGGCGGGGCGUCCGCGCGGCCGGCCAGGUCGGAGACGCGGACACGGAGAGGCUCCGUGCUCGCGGUGCUGGCCGAAGACGGGGCUCGGGGAAGAGCUCGCGGUUGUGCGUCGUGACGCGGCCACGGCGAGGUUGGUGUCGCAGGCGAAGGACCUCGACGUCGGGGUCGCGGGUGCGGCUCGGCGGUGCUCGGCGGCGUCGUGGCCCGGGGCGGGGUUGACGCGAGGGCGCGGAGCUCCUGAUGGGGCGCCGAGGUCCUGGCCGCGGCCGAGGCUCGUAAAGACGAGGUCGUCGCGGGGCACCGAGGCGGCUCGGCAGUGCUGUGGCGCCCGCGCGGCCAGCCGUGGUCGAAGCUCGACGCGGCGAGGGCAGCGUCGCGGCUGGCCACGGCUCGGCGAAGGUGGCUUCUGGGCGUCAUGUCAGCCGUCGAGGCAAGGGCGCCGUCGUCUCGGGCUCUCGGUGGCGCAGUGGGUGCUCGUCGCGGACAACUCAAGCGCCUGCGUCCCGGUGCGGCCGUGGCAUCCGCGUGGCCGUCCGCGGUCGCGAGUCCGCACGACGCCGCGGUCGCGGAGGACGCCGGGGCCUCGGUGGCGUCCAGGCUUGACGUGAAGGCGUUGUCGCGGCGCCGGUCAUGGAGGACAAGGCGGAGGGCGGCGGCGCUGGGUGGAGGGAACAGAGGACUGCGGCGGCGCCACUAGGGAAGAGCUCGAGGGCGUGGCGGCGGCUGGGCUCUUUAUAGGCGUCGAGGCUAGGGCUUCAGAGUGGAGGCGUUCAUCCUCGGCGUCCGUGUCCGCAGCGGGACACGCGGCGGGAAUCCUGGGCUGGCGCGGACAGGGACAGGAGGGGCGCUGGCGCUCGUGGCCUUUCCACCGAGCGGUGGCGGUGGCGGCUCUACCUGGGAGCGGCGCGGUUCCUAGGGUUGGGGAGAAGGGGGCGCUGCCUCCCUCAUGGGCCACGGCCUGGGCCUUGGCGACUUGGGCCGUAGGUGAAGGGGGACGAGUGAGCUGGGGGCAAGACGCGCUGGCGGGCCGUGGUGCUGCGUCGCUGGGCCUUGCGCGCGAAAGGGCCAAGCAUGGAGGAGGGAGGGCGCUGGUCGCGUGGGCCAAAGGGAGAAAAGAAAAGAAAAAAAAGGGUAGGAGGGGAGUAGGAAAUGGAUUUUGGCCCGAAAGAGAAGGAUUUUCCAUUUACGAACUUGACUCAAGGGCUUUGAGAGAGAAAUUUAAAAAGGGGAAAGAAUCGAGGGGGAUUCGAGAGAGAACUCAAAAAGAGAUUAAGAUGAGUUGCCAUGAAUUCAAGAUGGAUUUAGCGGUAGGGAUUUAGAGAGGAGGUCGACAAGAGAAAAGGUUUGAGAAGGGAAUUUCGGGGAGAGUUCGGAAAGAAUUCAAGGAAGUUGAGAAGGGAUUCGCUUCGCCUUUGAGAUAGGCUCAAAGAAAAUUUGAGAAGACUUCGCUAGGGAUUUAUGCACUCCAAAAGAAACUCAAAACCCUAAACAAGACCCAACUUAAGACGACUCACGAACAAAAUCACUCGCCUACAAACAAAUCUACAUGUAUGCCACGAUUUGUUAGCGGGUUAGGAUCGAGUUAGACCUGAAAACUAUAUGCUUCACACGGUUACAUGAAAAAUUUUAAAAAGCUCGUAUUUUUGGUUUUUUUUUUUGUAAAAAUCCGGGAUGUUACAGUCCACCCACCUUACAGGAAUCUCGUCCCCGAGAUUUAGGCGUUGCUCGGUCGGUGAAGAGACGAGGGUGUCGUUCUCAAAGCCUUUCUUACUUCUGAGUUGUUUCACUUUCAAUGUGAUCGCUCCACAAACUUUUUCCAAAAUGGGAGUGACUCUUGUUCCAAGUGUAUGCAAGGCUCACUUGCAGUCGUUGGGCAUCCAAAUUUUCACAUCAGGGCGAUGGGUGUCCAAGAAUCGCACGGGGUUGAUGAACAUCUGGCUCUCAAAGAGUGCAUGGCAGGCUUAAACGUAGCUAGGGUUGUUGGCUUUCAAUAGCUGUUUUUCGUGCAUCACUCUUUGCAAAAAGCUUUUGAAAGGAAUGUUUUUCGGAAAAACAGGUUUCAUAAAUGGAGUGAAAGCGAUUUUACAAAGUCAAAUGGAUUUUAAAGAGAGCUCAAACUGAAAAUAGCUUAUGGAAAGGGUUGAAAUCAGCGCAAAUUUUGAAAACCAAGUUUAUUUAUUUUAUUAUAAUUAUUAUUUUAAGAUUUUUGAUGUAAAAGAUUUCAAAUCAAGAGACUUUGAAACUCUUUUAGUUUUCUAGAUGAGGCGUUGCUCUCUUUUAUUUGAACUAAACAAACUAGUUUUGAAAAUGAUUAGAAAUCAUUUCUCUCUUUUGAAAGAUAAAGCUUUAACAACAAUAACAUUUUCUUUCAAAACUUGUAAGUUCAUUUUGUUUUUGCUAAUUUUUUUUUUGGAAGGCCGCAAACAAAAUUCUUUUCGCAAUGGUUUUUGUUUAAUAAAACACUGAAAAUUCCUUUUUCUUUUAGGACAAGGUGGAUUUUUAAAAGGAAUUUGGCUCUCGAGAUAAAAUCAAAGGUCUUUACAACAAAACUGAGCCAAAGAUCUUUGAUCUAAAAACCAUUUUGUUGAUGAAAAAGCAAGACUUUUGUUUUUCAGAAGAUGGUUGGUAACACCUUUUGAAAGAUAACUUAUUUUUAAAUAGUUUCAUAAAUAGAGUUUGGAUAAAAUUGAGUUGAGAAAAGGGUUAAAAUGGCUCUCUUUGUGAAAAUGAAAGAUAUUAAGAGAGUUUUGAAACACUUUUCCUUUUGAAACAAGGAUGCUUUUGUUAGAGAGGGGACAUUUUAACCAAAAGGAGAGAAAAUUUUGAAGACAGGUUCAUUUUGGAAGCCAAAAACAGUUUUGAAAUAGGCGAGCAUCACAUGAUGCAACAGCUUUACCUAACUUUUAACUUUGUUAGUCAGGGCCACCUAUCUAGUCUCGGGACGGUCUUAGGUUUAGCCGACUAGGUUGGACGGAAUCCAGAGUUUUUCUCGCAUAAAACAGGUUCUAUGACUUACACCCAGACAACAAGAAGCAGAAGAAACGCAACAACAUAAGAUCCAAGCACUCAAACAGCAUUACAACUCCUAAUGCAUAGUGUUGACUUGAGGCGACUCACAGACCUUCAAAGUCUCACACAACUAUCGAUCUAGCGUGGGCGGGUAUGGGAAAAGAUUCCAACGGUCAACUUUAUGAAACAGGGAGGUCAGUUAGCAGCAGAAUUCAAGGCGGAGGGGGGAAAACAAGUGUUAGCAUCUAUAACUCUACAAAAGAUAGAAUGUUUGGCUUCUAAACUAGUGUUUGGUCCUAAAGGUCUCGUCCUAGGGUCAAGUAUGGCUCUGAUACCAACUGAAACGACCUAGAUUUUUCCACAAAGGGGAAAAAUCCUCAGAUUCGAAUUAUAAUGUGAUAAUUCAGAUAUUGAGCCAUCACAUUAUCAUAUAUCAGCUGUUAUCGCAGUCAUACAUCGUGAAAAAGAAGAUUACAUCACAUUUACUUUACAACUCUUAGUUAACAAGCCUAUUACAUCGUUUUACUAGCGGAAACACACACGAAUCUUUUUCAGAGUCGAUGUAGCGCGUCAGCAGUGAGGGCUCCUCCUUCACGGGCAAUCAUCAGAGUCGGCGUAGUUUAUCAGCGGGCGUAGCCUUCAUCUCCGAACCAAACUUGAGCGCAGGAACGAGACCACCUAAUCCUUCUAUUCUCCGUAGUUAUCAUCAUAGACCACAUCCAAAACCUGCUAAACAAUUUUCAGUACGAUUUGUACUGGCCACUGGCUCCCACCCUAUGCUUUUGCUUAAGCUUUGUGGUAAGUGGAAUGCAAAGGGUAGAUCAAGAGGCCUAUAUAUAUGGCUGUAGUCUUUCCUAUGCAAGUUCAUCAAUAUUUAAUAAUAAUAUUUCAUCAAGUUUUAUUCCAUCUCAUCCACACAUCCAUCCAUCCAUCCCAUCACACACAUCUCACCACACUCUCACUCUCUAGGCGGCAAGUACGACUCCCGCUCGUGCCUUGCCUCAACGGCCAACGCCGGAUCCAACACAAACCCAGGGGAAGGUAGAAAGGACUCCUCUCACUAGUCAAGCGAAGCGGAACAUAGGAAAGGUCCAUAGCCGAGAAGACGGCAUAUGUAUCGAUCGAUCAACCAAACUCUGCAGAGGUUUACACUAACCACAAGAUCACCAUCAUCGACGAACCGGCUCGUCUAGGCUGAUACCGGGCUGCCUUCCAACUAAAUACGAUGCCACCCUACCACUCAGGACUGGGGCCAUACCGGAGUACCACCGGCAUGCUGAGACUGUGAGGCGUAGUACCGGGCCCCCAAGGGUCACUACGCUGUCUUAGGAGGGUGUGGGUCCUCAUGCCCGUACCUCCCUACACUAUCCGCUAUCAACCUAGUAGUAGUGGCACCGCACUAGCUGGUCGUACAUCCGUCCCGCACCAUAAUAAGGCGAGUGGCGUGUAAGGCUUCCUACGAACCGGUUCUCAGAACAUCUCAGUCCUUAGGGUAACCGAACAGGACAUCUUCACGAGGGGCCAGCCGAUGCCCCUCUCGACGGGACACCCGGCUACCCCGUGCUAAACAGCACCUCCCAUCCCGGUGCUUCGUCCCACGAAGACACUCCACUCCGGGACCUCUCCCUGUCACAUGUACCCGCCACAGGUAUCUCUCAUGGAGAACGCCCAGGUAGCGUUCCCCGGCAAGACUUGUCCCAAGACUCGUCGUAAAUCCUGCUCGGUCGACUCAACCCUCACCACACACCCAAGACACACGCCAAGAUCUCCCCAUAUCCAUUAUCCAUUUCUUAACCAGUUAUCGGCACACGUGCCUUAUCCACUCACAUCCAAUCCUCCACAAUGCAUCACAUCACAGAUAUAAUGCGUAGUAGAAGCAGUAGCAAGUAGUAUGCAAGCAUCUAACCUAACAGCGGGUGUGCGAGGGUUAUAGGUUGCAACAAGGCAAUGGCUCACAAGCAUUUCUACCAUGCAACCUAUCAUAGUUCAUUUGCAUAAAAGUAAAGCACUAGCAUCUAUAAUAUUGCAUGUCUAAUAGGAUUCUACGAGGUUGGGUGGGACGUGGCACCUGUCGAGUGACAUUUCCAGGAUCCUCAGUUCACUUGUAGUUGUACUCAUCCAAGGUCUUUCUCCUAUCUGC